rnacentral:rRNA from 1 species
UACGUAGGGACCGAGCGUUGUCCGGAUUCAUUGGGCGUAAAGAGCUCGUAGGCGGCUGCUCAAGUCGAAUGUGAAAACUCGAGGCUCAACCUCGAGCCUGCAUUCGAUACUGGAGGGCUAGAGACUGGUAGAGGCGAGCGGAAUUCCUGGUGUAGCGGUGGAAUGCGUAGAUAUCAGGAAGAACACCGGUGGCGAAGGCGGGUCUCUGGGCCGUAACUGGACGCUGAGGAGCGAAAAGCAUGGGGG